UUGAGAACCACUGGCCUGGUCAUUAAGCCACCAAGAUAAACCUGGCAGUGUGUUUACAGAGGCUCUUCACGGUUUGUAAACACGUAUGUAUUCGUGUGAUUGUUUAACACCUGACCCUUCCCCUUGGCCAGUAAGUGUCAUGAAGCCCAGAGAAAGUGAAGCAGAUGGUCUCCAAUAUACACUAGGCUUUGAGGUCCAACUCAGGAGCACAGGGCUUCAAGACAGCAGGAAGGAUGGAGCCAGACCAAAGAUGACCACCUUACUGCUGUUUGUCCUGCAUGCGAUAGUCUUAACAAAGCUCGGGAACUCUUGAAAAAGGCCUCUGAAUCAUUAAACCACACGCAGGAUUCGGUAACCUCUAGAAAUUGUCCUUCUGAGUGUGGAUUCUGCAGGUACUUCUUCAAACCUGGAAAAGGCUUACUUCUCUUAAAAAAUUUGACCCAAGCUCCCCCAGCUGGCCUCGGGAGCUUGCACUAGGCUCUGGGCAAGGCUAGCACAAGGCAGGGAGAACAUCCAUCUUUGGUUGGAAGAUUAUGAGAAUAAACCGUCUCUCAUGGCCCUAACAUGUCUACAUGGGAGUAGGUACACAAACACCUAAGACUUAGAAAGGAUUAGGAUAUUUAUAGCAGGUCUUUCUGAGCCUGGGAAAUGGAACACUACUGAGCAAACGGAAACUAAAAAAAUCAUUAUUAAGCUAAAAAUGUAUUCAGAGACAGAUUUGCCUCUCCAUGUUUACAUGAUUUCAUAAAAUAAAAACAACUCCCACCCGCUACACCACCACCCCACGUUGAUCCUAAUAGACAACUAGCUGUAU